UUAAGUUCAGCGGGUAGUCCUACCUGAUUUGAGGUCACAUUAAUGAUGAAUUGUCCAAAGACAGUUAGAAAGCUGAACUGCCCCUCACAUUCAAUAGCAUAGAUAGUUAUCACGCCAAUGAACAAGGUUGUUCUGCUAAUGCAUUUCAGGGGAGCUGAAUCAUUUAAGAGGCCAGCAAACCCCACAUCCAAACCACUCAA
rnacentral:misc_RNA from 1 species